rnacentral:rRNA from 1 species
GACGAACGCUGGCGGCGCGCCUAACACAUGCAAGUCGAACGAGCGAGCGAGAGCUUGCUUUCUUGAGCGAGUGGCGAACGGGUGAGUAACGCGUGAGGAACCUGCCUCAAAGAGGGGGACAACAGUUGGAAACGACUGCUAAUACCGCAUAAGCCCACGGUGCCGCAUGGCACAGAGGGAAAAGGAGCGAUCCGCUUUGAGAUGGCCUCGCGUCCGAUUAGCUAGUUGGUGAGGUAACGGCCCACCAAGGCGACGGUCGGUAGCCGGACUGAGAGGUUGAACCGCCCCCUUGGGACUGGGACACGGCCCAGACUCCUACGGGAGGCAGCAGUGGGGAAUAUUGCACACUGCGUGAAUCCCUGAUGCCGCGACGCCGUGUGGAGGAAGAAGGUCUUCGGAUUGUAAACUCCUGUUGCUGGGGAAGAUAAUGACGGUACCCAACAAGGAAGUGCCGGCUAACUACGU